rnacentral:rRNA from 1 species
GGAUGAACGCUGGCUGUGUGCCUAAUACAUGCAUGUCGAGCGGAGUUCUUCGGAACUUAGCGGCGAAUGGGUGAGUAACACGUACUUAACAUACCUUUUGGUUUGGGAUAACGUUUGGAAACAGACGCUAAUACCGGAUAUUUGUUUUAAUCGCAUGAUUGAAACAUAAAAGGGGCUUCAAAGCCUCGCCUUAAGAUUGGGGUGCGUAACAUUAGUUAGUUGGUAAGGUAACGGCUUACCAAGACGAUGAUGUUUAGCCGGGUUGAGAGACCGACCGGCCACACUGGGACUGAGAUACGGCCCAGACUCCUACGGGAGGCAGCAGUAGGGAAUAUUCCACAAUGGGCGAAAGCCUGAUGGAGCGACACAGCGUGCACGAUGACGCCCUUCGGGGUGUAAAGUGCUGUUAUAAGAGAAGAAAAAGUAGUGUAGGAAAUGACAUUACCUUGACGGUAUCUUAUCAGAAAGUGACGGCUAACUAUGUGCCAGCAGCCGCGGUAAUACAUAGGUCACGAGCGUUAUCCGAAAUUAUUGGGCGUAAAGCGUCCGUAGGUUGUUUGUUAAGUCUAGCGUUAAAUCUUGGGGCUCAACCCCAUUCCGCGUUAGAUACUGGCAAGCUAGAGUUAUAUAGAGGUUAGUGGAAUUCAAUGUGAAGCGGUGGAAUGCGUAGAUAUAUUGAAGAACACCAAUGGCGAAGGCAGCUAACUGGGUAUAAACUGACACUGAGGGACGAAAGCGUGGGGAGCAAACAGGAUUAGAUACCCUGGUAGUCCACGCCGUAAACGAUGAUCAUUAGUUGGUGGAAAAUUCACUAACACAGCUAACGCAUUAAAUGAUCCGCCUGAGUAGUAUGCUCGCAAGAGUGAAACUUAAAGGAAUUGACGGGGAUCCGCACAAGCGGUGGAGCAUGUGGUUUAAUUUGAAGAUACGCGUAGAACCUUACCCACACUUGACAUCUUCUGCAAUGCUAUGGAGACAUAGCGGAGGUUAACAGAAUGACAGGUGGUGCAUGGUUGUCGUCAGCUCGUGUCGUGAGAUGUUUGGUUAAGUCCUGCAACGAGCGCAACCCCUAUCAUUAGUUACUAACAUUAAGUUGAGGACUCUAAUGAGACUGCCCGAGUAAUCGGGAGGAAGGUGGGGACGACGUCAAAUCAUCAUGCCUCUUACGUGUGGGGCAACACACGUGCUACAAUGGAUGAUACAAAGAGAAGCAACCCGGCGACGGUGAGCAAACCUCAUAAAAUCAUUCUCAGUUCGGAUUGGAGUCUGCAACUCGACUCCAUGAAGUCGGAAUCGCUAGUAAUCGUAGGUCAGCUACACUACGGUGAAUACGUUCUCGGAUCUUGUACACACCGCCCGUCACACCAUGGGAGCUGGAAAUGCCCGAAGCCGGUUAGCUAACUUCGGAGGCGACUGUCUAAGGCAGGUCCGGUGACUGGGGUGAAGUCGUAACAAGGUAUCCCUACGAGAACGUGGGGAUGGAUCACCUCCUUUCU